rnacentral:rRNA from 1 species
GACGAACGCUGGCGGCGUGCCUAAUACAUGCAAGUAGAACGCUGAAGGAGGAGCUUGCUUCUCUGGAUGAGUUGCGAACGGGUGAGUAACGCGUAGGUAACCUGCCUGGUAGCGGGGGAUAACUAUUGGAAACGAUAGCUAAUACCGCAUAAGAGUAGAUGUUGCAUGACAUUUGCUUAAAAGGUGCAAUUGCAUCACUACCAGAUGGACCUGCGUUGUAUUAGCUAGUUGUGGGGGUAACGGCUCACCAAGGCGAGGAGACAUACCCGACCUGAGAGGGGGAUCGGCCAAACUGGGACUGAGACACGGCCCAGACUCCUACGGGAGGCAGCAGUAGGGAAUCGUCGGCAAUGGACGGAAGUCUGACCGAGCAACGCCGCGUGAGUGAAGAAGGUUUUCGGAUCGUAAAGCUCUGUUGUAAGAGAAGAACGAGUGUGAGAGUGGAAAGUUCACACUGUGACGGUAUCUUACCAGAAAGGGACGGCUAACUACGUG